rnacentral:lncRNA from 1 species
CUCAUUGUCAGUCCCGGGGACCCGAGGAGGCGCCGGCGCCGGGAGCCGAGCGCCGGGCGGUCCGCAGGCGGGAGCGCGGGCCGGAGCCGCGGAGCACUGAAGACGUUGACUGGAGACUUGCUGGCAAGCACAACUUACGAAAGGAACAAGGGAAAGAGACGCAGCCAUAGCUACAAGAAGCACCUGGGACGGGGGAGGCGCAGCGAACUGGCGGGGAGCCCGAGUCUUUCUUGUCACUCAGGGUCCUCCCUGCCCUCUCGGCCGCUGCCUGGUUACACGCCUGCCCCCAACUUCCCCCCUCUCGCAUUAGGGCUGCUUUCAAAUGACUUCUGCUGGAACUGGGCAAGUUAAUUUCUCAAGCUUCCUUUCCCAAGGGCUUCCUGGUGCACUUAGAGGGGAAGAGACACUCAACAUGUGCGGGGGAUGUGGGCUUAAUCAGGAUGGCGAUGAGAAGAAAAUUGGAUUAACAUUUACAGAACGUAUUUUGUGCCAGGCCUUAUGUACUUAGGCUCUUCAUGUAGAUUUUCACAGAAUCCUUACAUCAGCCCUGUGAAGUUUAUCGUAAUCUCUGUGUACACUUGAAGAAACUGAGAUCGUGGAGAUUAAUCACCUGAACUGAUAUGUGACUGAAUUAUAGUGGGAACCCAGAUUCCCUGACUUCUGAGGCCAUGUGUGCUCUCUCUGUUAU